rnacentral:rRNA from 1 species
CGAACGGGUGAGUAAUAUAUCGGAACGUACCCAGUAGCGGGGGAUAACUACUCGAAAGAGUAGCUAAUACCGCAUACGCCCUACGGGGGAAAGGGGGGGAUCGCAAGACCUCGCGCGAUUGGAGCGGCCGAUAUCGGAUUAGCUAGUUGGUGAGGUAAAAGCCUACCAAGGCGACGAUCUGUAGCUGGUCUGAGAGGACGACCAGCCACACUGGAACUGAGACACGGUCCAGACUCC